UACGGGGGGGGCAAGCGUUGUUCGGAAUUACUGGGCGUAAAGGGCUCGUAGGUGGCCAACUAAGUCAGACGUGAAAUCCCUCGGCUUAACCGGGGAACUGCGUCUGAUGCUGGAUGGCUUGAGUUUGGGAAAGGCAAGCGGAAUUCCUGGUGUAGCGGUGAAAUGACGUAGAUAUCAGGAGGAACACCGGCGGUGUAGACGGCUUGCUAGACCACCCCUGACGCUGAGGCACGAAAGCGUGGGUAGCAAACAGG
rnacentral:rRNA from 1 species